rnacentral:rRNA from 1 species
UGCAUGCAAGUCGGACGCAGGGAGCUUCGGCCCCCUGAGUGGCGCACGGCUGAGGAACACGUGGGUGAUCUACCCGGGUGUGGGGGAUAACGGGCCGAAAGGUUCGCUAAUUCCGCAUACGCUCCGAAUCGGAGGAAAGCGUUCGCGCGCACUCGGAUGAGCCUGCGGCCCAUCAGGUUGCUGGUAGGGUAAUGGCCUACCAGGCCAAUGACGGGUACCUGGUCUGAGAGGACGACCAGGCAGACUGGGACUGAGACACGGCCCAGACUCCUACGGGAGGCAGCAGUAGGGAAUUUUCCACAAUGGACGAAAGUCUGAUGGAGCAACGCCGCGUGCAGGAUGACGGCCUUCGGGUUGUAAACUGCUUUUAUGAGUGAAGAUUUAGACGGUAACUCAAGAAUAAGGAUCGGCUAACUACGUGCCAGCAGCCGCGGUCAUACGUAGGAUCCAAGCGUUAUCCGGAAUUACUGGGCGUAAAGAGUUGCGUAGGUGGUCUCAUCAAGCGGAAUGUGAAAGCGCACGGCUCAACCGUGUAUACAUGUUCUGAACUGAUGGACUAGAGGGCGAGAGAGGUUACUGGAAUUUCUUGUGUAGGAGUGAAAUCCGUAGAUAUAAGAAGGAACACCGAUGGCGUAGGCAGGUAACUGGCUCGCACCUGACACUAAGGCACGAAAGCGUGGGUAGCAAACGGGAUUAGAUACCCCGGUAGUCCACGCUGUAAACGAUGGAUGCUAGCUGUUGGUCGUAUCGACCCGAUCAGUAGCGAAGCUAACGCGUUAAGCAUCCCGCCUGUGGAGUACGAGCGCAAGCUUAAAACAUAAAGGAAUUGACGGGGACCCGCACAAGCGGUGGAGCGUGUUGUUUAAUUCGAUGAUAAGCGAAGAACCUUACCCAGGUUUGACAUCCUUGGAAGGACUACGAAAGUAGACUGUGCCUUUUGGAACCAAGUGACAGGUGAUGCAUGGCCGUCGUCAGCUCGUGUCGUGAGAUGUUUGGUUAGUCCAUCACGAGCGCAACCCUAUAGUAGUGUAUUUUUCUAGCUAGACUGCCUGCACAGGAGAAGGAGGGAUGAUGUCAGUCAGUAUCUCCCUACAUCUGGGCUACAACCCGCUACAUGCCGUACAAGGCAGCCACCCCGCGAGGGAGCUAUCCAUCAAGGCGGUCCAGUCGAUGCAGCCUGAACCGCCUGCUGAAGCCGGAUCCUAGUACGUAGUCGACAAUACGGGAUACGUUCGCCUGGUUACUACCAGCCCGCUAACACAAGAAUAUGUAGGUGCA